CAUCAAAUUCGGUUCUAAAGUUCAACAUUAGAGCAAAACAACUCGGACUUCUGAUUAAGUCACUGCUGCGUUUCAGUCUCGCCUGGACAAGGACGGACAUUUUUCUACACGCGCUCACGACUGUGGGAUUUUCUUUUUCGGAGAAAAGAAUGAUGGCUCAUGAAAGAUGGCUCAUGCAGUUCGUCAUCGCCAUCGUCAUCGUCAUCGUCAUCAACAUCAUCAUCAUCACAGAGACAGGAUUUAACGCGAACGCGUCACACUCGUCGUUUUCAUCACUGAAUGUGUACAUAUAUACAUAUACACACCGGAUCAUGUAACUUGUGUAAAAGAAUAGAGUCUAUGUAUAAAUGCAAGGAUCCAGGUUCAUUUUUAUAUUUUAAGUAAGACUGAAGAGAGGAUUAGCCGCCCUACGUGCACACUAGAGGGCGACAGUUUCAGUACUGGAAAGUCGGAUAGGGCCAAAGGAUAAUCUCAUCUCAUGCAGCACUGGCUCACGGACAGCGCAGGAAGUUCAAUAACCACUCAAUUCUGUGAAGUGCCUCCAACACAAGAGGACUGGGGGAAAAGCAGAGAAGGAGAAAAAGCCAAAGUCCAAACACAGGAGGGGGAAAAGGACA
ensembl:lncRNA